GUCUCUGGGGCGCAACCAGUCAGUGCGUUCGGCUGUUAAGCGAAAGGCUGCUGGCUUGAGCCCACCCAGGGAUG
rnacentral:tRNA from 1 species